rnacentral:rRNA from 1 species
GACGAACCGUCCAAACGUUAUUCGGAAUCACUGGGCUUACAGAGUUCGUAGGCGGUCUGGAAAGUUGGGUGUGAAAUCCCUCGGCUCAACCGAGGAACUGCGCUUGAAACUACCAGACUCGAGGGAGAUAGAGGAAAGCGGAACUGAUGGUGGAGCGGUGAAAUGCGUUGAUAUCAUCAGGAGCACCGGUGGCGAAGGCGGCUUUCUGGGUCUUACCUGACGCUGAGGAACGAAAGCUAGGGGAGCGAACGGG